AUUGAACGCUGGCGGCAUGCUUUACACAUGCAAGUCGAACGGUAACAGGUCUUCGGAUGCUGACGAGUGGCGAACGGGUGAGUAAUGCAUCGGAACGUGCCCAGUCGUGGGGGAUAACGCAGCGAAAGCUGCGCUAAUACCGCAUACGAUAUAUGGAUGAAAGCGGGGGACCGUAAGGCCUCGCGCGAUUGGAGCGGCCGAUGUCAGAUUAGGUAGUUGGUGGGGUAAAGGCCCACCAAGCCAACGAUCUGUAGCUGGUCUGAGAGGACGACCAGCCACACGGGGAGUGAGACACGGCCCAGACUCGUACGGGAGUAAGCAGUGGGGAAUUUUGGACAAUGGGGGCAAGCCUGAUCCAGCAAUGCCGCGUGCAGGAAGAAGGCCUUCGGGUUGUAAACUGCUUUUGUACGGAACUAAACGGCUCUCUCUAAUACAGAGGGCUAAUGACGGUACCGUAAGAAUAAGCACCGGCUAACUACGUGCCAGCAGCCGCCGUAACAC
rnacentral:rRNA from 1 species